rnacentral:rRNA from 1 species
UACGUAGGUGACCAGCGUUGUCCGGAUUUACUGGGCGUAAAGAGCGCGCAGGCGGUCGUUCAAGUCGAGUGUGAAAGCCCCCGGCUCAACUGGGGAGGGUCAUUCGAUACUGAUCGACUUGAAGGCAGGAGAGGGAAGCGGAAUUCCCGGUGUAGUGGUGAAAUGCGUAGAUAUCGGGAGGAACACCAGUGGCGAAGGCGACUACCUGGCCUGUUUCUUGACGCUGAGGCGCGAAAGCUAGGGGAGCAAACGGG